CUUCCUUUAGGCAGACAACAGGUCUGGGAUAUUUUACCGUCCUCCUUCUGUUCUCCAGAGCUACAGACUCUUGUUUCAUUCUGCUGCAGCUUUAAAAGGAGAAACAGCUUUGGACUACAACUAAAAUACCAAAAGUACACUGGAUAUAGAUCAAAGUGAUCCUCUGUUCAGAAUAUUUUUCUUCUUAUACAGAGUUAUGGCGACACAGAGAACAUAUGAAUGCUGUCUGGAGACUCAAAGUCACCCCAGUGAAGCGUCUCUUUUAUCAGAAUUCACUGUUCAUCUUGUCUCCUCAGACACUGAGACUGAAGUUUAGACCAAGGACACCAACAAGCUCCAGUUACUGAACAAGUGCAACUCCCACCAGAGAGAAGCACCUCCUGUUGUUGUUGUUGUUGUUGUUGUUGUUAUGGCUGCGAUGAAGUGACCUUGGACUUGUUGUGCUGUGAGAAUUCAAGACAAAACUCGUGAGGAGUUUUUGUUUUCCAUCAACAUUCAGCUGCAGCAGAUAAAGUCCUCAGAGAGCCAGACGUCCACAAUCACAACAGCAUUCAGUCUGGGUUAAGAGCAGAGAGGUGUGCCGGCGUCAGCAACAUAAAUGACUGUUGGGAAGGCGAUCAUCAUGCAGAGCUGCUCGCUGGAGUCAGAGAGAAAACCCUGUCAGCCUCUAAAUACUUCCUUCUCUGUGGAUCUGAUGCACCGAAGCAGUCAAAUGGUAUAUCAAAGACCAGAGAACAGCAGGGGAAAACUCAAAAUUUUGCCAGUUUCUUCAACAUUUUAGAUAUUUCCACGGUGAGACGAUGAUUCUCCUUCUUCAUCACCAUGCGGGAAAUAUUUUUACCUCCUCUGCCGCACAUCGCUGCCCUCCUGUUUGACAUUUCUAUCAGAAGUCGUCAUGCAGGCCGACCGUCUUCUCAGCAGGACAGUGAGCUGAAUAUUCAGAGCUGGCUCACUCUAAAUAUUCUAUCGGGAUCAUCUGAGAGCAAAAAAACACCUGAAUCAAACAUCAGAUGUGCAGUGUAUGAGUCAGAUUCAUUAACAAGUUUGUUCAAAGAGCUGAAUUUGCUUGUGGUUUAAUCACUGAAAAAGUGUAGUUUUUAUCUCACCUGCUCAAAUAUAAAUAAUUUUGAUUCUCUAUAUUGUUAAAAAAAGAUCAUCUGAAGUCUUUGUUGUCUGAAGGAAUGUAACUCUGACUGGUUUUCUUAUUUAUUUCUUCAGUUAAGAAUGUUUUCAGGUUUUAAUAAACACAACAUUGUUGUUCAUUUAACAAACAUAGAUAUUGCUUGGCCCAUAAAUAACUAAAGUCAACUCAGGAUUGACAGCAGCUCAUGUGUCUGCAGCAGCAAACUGUUAUUGUUAUAUCACUUUCUGCUUGUUGACAGGCUUCAUUUGAGACCUUUAGCUUCUUCUAUUUGUGUUACAGUAUAUUUCCUGGAACAUGUAUUUGAUAUUUGUUGAGAUAUUCUGAGAUUUUUGACUCCAAGCUAAUGCAGAAGAGGAAUAGUACUCUUUUUUCUCCACUUACAUUAAA